rnacentral:rRNA from 1 species
UACGAAGGGGACUAGCGUUGUUCGGAAUUAUUGGGCGUAAAGAGCUCGUAGGCGGUCUGUCGCGUCGGAUGUGAAAACCCAGGGCUCAACCCUGGGCCUGCAUUCGAUACGGGCAGACUAGAGUUCGGUAGGGGAGACUGGAAUUCCUGGUGUAGCGGUGAAAUGCGCAGAUAUCAGGAGGAACACCGGUGGCGAAGGCGGGUCUCUGGGCCGAAACUGACGCUGAGGAGCGAAAGCGUGGGGAGCAAACAGG